GACCCAAUGGCACAGUUGGUUAGUGCGUCUGCUGAAAUUAAUUUGCCUGAAACGUUUGAGCAGGAGUCCCUCGUUCGAACCGGGGGUUGGGUCA